rnacentral:lncRNA from 1 species
AUGGACAAAUUAUUUGAAAAACUACAGCAACAUAGGAGAGGAUUAAAUACGUUCACUGGCAAUUUGUAUUUCCACGUUGUCGUUCUACAACAAUGUACCCAAGCACACACUGCUGCCCUGCAGACACCAAGGACAUCUGCCAGAGGUCGGGGUCACCAGGAUGCUGACAUUCUGGAAGUAAACAAUGUUAAUGGAUGGAAAUAUGGUGAAUUAGAAACGAUCAAUUUGUAUGGAGGAAUAAGCUGGAAGGAAGGGAAUGGUAGUGGAAAUCCUCCACACUUCUCAAUUCAUCUCUUUCCCAACUGCCUGAUGCAGCUUCCAUCAACAGAGAAGUGCUGGUGCUGAGAAGGCGCCCCUCCUGCUCCAUGAAGAUGCACUUGAUCCAGAAAGAAAACUCUGUCCCUCAAUGGCUUUGAUGGAGCCUUCUGGCGUGUGGGAGAAGCCAACACCUGGAGGAACUAAAUGCAGGCUUUGACCAGCAGCCUGCAAUGAACUGAGUUCAAACAGCAAUAAUGUGAGCUAAGAAAUAACUUCUUCACCAGCUGAAAUUUUAGUUGAGACCUCAGCCUUGGCUAUCAUCUAUGUCUCAUUUCUUGACCCAGAGAACUAUGAGAUAAUACUUUAUGCAUUUUUAGGCCAGUAAAUUUGUGGUAAUUUAUAAGGCAGUAAUAAAUAAGUAAUGCACUUAAGAACUAAAUGUCAUGUGCUAUCCUGGAUUGGAUCCUUGAACAGACAAAUGAC